UACGGAGGGUGCAAGCGUUAUCCGGAUUUAUUGGGUUUAAAGGGUCCGUAGGCGGACUUAUAAGUCAGUGGUGAAAUCCUGCAGCUCAACUGUAGAACUGCCAUUGAUACUGUAAGUCUUGAAUUCGGUUGAAGUGGGCGGAAUAUGGCAUGUAGCGGUGAAAUGCUUAGAUAUGCCAUAGAACACCGAUUGCGUAGGCAGCUCACCAAGCCUGGAUUGACGCUGAGGGACGAAAGCGUGGGGAGCGAACAGG
rnacentral:rRNA from 1 species